rnacentral:rRNA from 1 species
UACGGAGGAUCCAAGCGUUAUCCGGAAUCAUUGGGUUUAAAGGGUCCGUAGGCGGUCUUAUAAGUCAGUGGUGAAAUCUCCCCGCUCAACGGGGAAACGGCCAUUGAUACUGUAGGACUUGAAUUAUUAGGAAGUAACUAGAAUAUGUAGUUGUAGCGGUGAAAUGCUUAGAGAUUACAUGGAAUACCAAUUGCGAAGGCAGGUUACUACUAAUGGAUUGACGCUGAUGGACGAAAGCGUGGGUAGCGAACAGG